AUUUGAUCCCUGGCUUAGAACUAACGCUGGCAGUGCGUCUUAAGCAUGCAAGUCAAACGGGAUGUAGCAAUACAUUCAGUGGCGAACGGGUGAGUAACGCGUGGAUGAUCUACCUAUGAGAUGGGGAUAACUAUUAGAAAUAGUAGCUAAUACCGAAUAAGGUCAGUUAAUUUGUUAAUUGAUGAAAGGAAGCCUUUAAAGCUUCGCUUGUAGAUGAGUCUGCGUCUUAUUAGCUAGUUGGUAGGGUAAAUGCCUACCAAGGCAAUGAUAAGUAACCGGCCUGAGAGGGUGAACGGUCACACUGGAACUGAGAUACGGUCCAGACUCCUACGGGAGGCAGCAGCUAAGAAUCUUCCGCAAUGGGCGAAAGCCUGACGGAGCGACACUGCGUGAAUGAAGAAGGUCGAAAGAUUGUAAAAUUCUUUUAUAAAUGAGGAAUAAGCUUUGUAGGAAAUGACAAAGUGAUGACGUUAAUUUAUGAAUAAGCCCCGGCUAAUUACGUGCCAGCAGCCGCGGUAAUACGUAAGGGGCGAGCGUUGUUCGGGAUUAUUGGGCGUA
rnacentral:rRNA from 1 species